UCCCGGGGCGGCCUGCCUCCAGCGGCUGACAGCCGUGGGAGCGUCAGGAGACCAGACCACUCUGCAGGGUCACCCAGGUUGGGAGCUUCCUCGGGGGUCCGCCCAGGGACUGGCUGGAACCGUGUCACAGCUGCGAAAGGAGAAAAGACCAGGCAUUCAUAACCAGAGCCGGCCCGGCGCUCACAGCUGGGCCACGUUAUUCUCCUGUUGGACAUAAACAACUUCACAGAAUAAAAUCGAACAAGAUGAUGCAAGCCCUCUCCAGAGUUUCACUUAAGCAUAAAGAUGGUCACUGUGCCACUCAAACAGUAACAGAUUUUCCCGUCACCCCUUCUUGGCCAGAAUGAGUGGCUGCUACUCGAUUACCGGUUACAACCUUGUCCUCAUCCUACUCUUCCCUCGCCAGGGGUAAGAUUUAUGGAGACACCCAUCACAGACAGGCUGCCAUUUUGUUUUCUAGAUUGCACUGGCAGCGUCCAAUCUAGAGAGGACCUUCGGUCUUCUCCCACCCCACCUACCUGAAGCCCAAAUGCUACCUGAGCUUCUUUCUAACACUUGUACUGAGGGGCCCGUGGUUCCCCACAGUGUGCGUCUCAUUCUCUGCAGUGAGUGAUGGACUCGAUCUAUGGAACUUCAGGUAUGUUCCUGAUGGACUUCAGCUGAAGAGAAUUGACACAGCCCAACCUCUCGUUGGCCAGCUCCUUUCUCUCCCUUCUUUUCUCAUGGCGCCUGAGCCCAAGGGCAUUCCCUCCAAUACAGAUCUUCAUCUCAGAGUCUCCAUCACAGGAAAACCUACCCAGGGACAAGAAAUAACCCCUGACCCUGAGAAGGAAGUGUCGGAGCCAGGGGGACCCAUAGAAGAGUGCCAGGGUCUGCAAGGCAGGCAAGCUUCUUGCAGUCCAGAUCAGUGAAACCUGAAGAUUGAGUAGUGAGUGGGUGCCAUGAUGGGGUGGUGGGGGCAGAAGAGGCUCAGAAAUGAUCUGGAGGCCGCAAGGAGCCCAACGAAAGGUUCUGGCUGGGACACUGGCAGGUGGGAAUGGGAGGGAAAGGUGGGGACCAGGUCAGGAGGCACCUCACAAGCCCUAGGAAAGAGUUGGAUCUGAUUCAACUAAUUUUGGCCAACGGGAGGAUUGAAGUAGGGGAGUAACAGACUUGUAUUCUGGGUUCAGAACAGAAUUUGGUAUUGAACCAUUUCACAUCAAACAAAAGAUCAUGGCAUCUUUACAUUAAGGACUAGGAUAAUGGUAACUCAGCACAAAAUGACGGGUUCUUCAGAAGUCUUAAAAAUACAUUUGACUUUUUCUCUACCCGAGUGCAAGUGUAUUAUUUGUGAAUGAUACUUUGAAACCUACCAAUAGAUCUGCAAGUGGGUUUGACCGUCAGAAGCAGUGACCACGUCGGCACUGAGGAGGAGGAAUGGUCUUUUGGCAUCACACCAUUGCACCGGCACAGACACGCCAUCCUGCCAGGCUCUGGGAGGUGGCAUGAUCAAAAGACCUUCCCAACUUCAGGGCCAUUAUAAUCCAGCUGGGGGCACACAGUGUGUACAUGAAAAAGGGAAGAAAAGCAAAGAACGCAAGAGUGUUCAAAUGACUGGAGGGGCCAAGACAGGGCUUCCUGUGCAAAGGUAGACUUGAGACCAUAAUUGGAAGCAAAAAUAUGUGGUGGCCCCAUCUGUAAAUACGGGCAUAAAGAAUAGCACAUGACAAACGUCCACUGUGGCACCUUCCCGUGAUGGGUUUUAAUGUUCUGUAGCCAAAUCAUGUUUGAAAAUUUAUAUGUAAUGUUAGUUCCCCUUCCCCCACAUACACUCAUAGCAUUCAUGAUAAUAAACAUGAAGUCUAAAGGCAGAUGAAUUACAUAUACUGUCUUGCAAAUGUAUCUUUGCCACUCCUGCUUUUAACAUGCCUGGAAUACUCUUCAGGCCACUCUGUCCUUACAUUCAUUAAAGGUCCAGCUUAAAUCCUGAUUGUAAGAAUCCGUCUGCCAGGGUUACCUGGGUGGCUCAGUUGGUUAGGCAUCCAUCUUUUGACUUUGGCUUGGGUCAUGAUCUCAUGGUUCAUGGGUUCGAGCCCCACAUUGGGCUCCUCAAACCUGCUUGGGAUUCUCCUUCUCUCCCUUUCUCUCUACCCUACCCCUGCUGGUGCUCUCUCCCUCCCUCUCUCUUUCCCUCUCUCUCUCUCUCUCUCUCUCUCCCAAAAUAAACAAACUUGAAAACAAAAAAAAGAACCCGUCUGCCAGAAUAGUACAACAGCAGGGCGCAGUCUCCUCUGAACCUGCAUGAUAACACAGCACUGGGUUUGUUCCUUGUCCACUGUGUGUGGUUUUCCUGGGUCUCAUGGAAUCGUAAUCCUCACAGACGCCAUUGUGAGGGGAGAAGGCAGAAUCUGUCCCCAUUUUUCUAGCAGACCAUAAUGCUGGACCUCAGAGGUCAGAUGAGUGAAGCCGGCUGCCGAACCCCACAGCUGGUGAGCAGGAGGGGUGGUUCUGGGACCCGGAGCUGCUCCGGGUGGGUAUGCUCUCCCAUGCUAUUGCGAACAUCGUGCAACCUGGUUGCAUUGCUGCUUUUCCAGGUGUAAAGGUGACCUUGGGUUCUGAACCCCCUAGAAGACGAUGAUCAUGUCUUUCACUUUGUGCUUCUAGAACCCCCUGGGAUGCCGCGCCGCCAAGAUGAAAGCAAUGAACAUUUGCUGCUUGAAAUACCUGCUGUAUCAAAAUUGACAUUCAAAUGAUAUUACAGUACAUGCAGGUGUAUUUGUGUUUAACCUUUCUUCUGAGUUAGGUUCCUUCCUCAAACGGUGUGUUACUAAUUUCUGAAUUUAGAGAAGCGGUAUUCAGGGCACUACUAAAUUUAAACUUCAUUCAUUCAGCUAGCUUUGCAAAACCCAGUCUAUAACAACAAAACAAAAAUAGUCUACAACAAUGGGCCCUAAAUUUGAAAAUGCAUCCCCUUUAAUGGACAGCCUUCGGUGGGGGGUAGUAUUUUUUAAAGUCUAUGACUUACAUAGAUUUACUACAAAUUAUGAUACAGCUUAAUCAAGCACUACACACAUUGACAGUCACUGGAUUUCCAGGCACAGUAAGAACGAUCUCAAGAUUCCCACUUAGGUUCUGAGGAAGAAUGAGUUCAUUGUGACAAAUCAUCUGGGACGAACGUUUAAGUUCUAAAGUAACGAGUAAGGAGAGCAAACCGAACCUCCAGCUUAUAAUGGCUACACAGGGUUCCUUUGUCUCCCCUUCCGUAUGGCUUCUACUCGGUGCCCAAACAACCCUUACCUUUAAUCCUAGUUUUUUCCCCUCUUAACUUUACCUUGUAAUGGAGAAAUUUUGGAUUGCACUUUAGUGAGACCAGGAGAACAUUUUUGCUCUGGAAAGCGAGAAGCACAUCGAGCUGCAGCUUGAAAAAUUAACAAGUCUUCUUAUAAAGAGAAAUCUGCAGUUUAGCACCCGUCCAAGGUGAGGUGGCCAGGAAGGAAGUAUUAACACAGAUGAGGCCUGCCCUUUACUAUAUUCUUAAACAUUGUUCUGACCUUCAAAUAAUUUGUGCUUAUUGAAGGAAAACUGGAACAUACAGAGAACUAAAGGGUGUAUAUUCCUAGAGGCAAGACCUUCAAGCGUGGAUCUGGAAGAUACUACGCGACACCAUGUCUCCUAGUGAGAACUUGACUUUGUGGUCAUUCGGUUCACCCUGACCCAAACCACACCCCAGGACAGGGCUCCAGUCCUGGUUUCUGAACCCUGGCACCCAGAGGAAAACAUUGCAAACACUUCUGCUGCAGACACCAUCCCCAACACUGCAGGCACCAAGUAGGAACACCACAGCCCUGGGGUCACAGCCCUGGACCGGAGGGGCGGGAUCCCACAGCGUAUUCGAUCACCAGAAGGGACAAAAGCCUUCCACUCGGCUUUUCAUCUCUUCACAGCUUUUUGACAUUUCCAAAGCCACACCUUACUUGCUGGUUUUCUUUUGUGAGAGAGAAGACACACAGGCUGAGCACCACAGCCAGCGAGCACGUUUCCAGAAGGCUGCCUAGGUUCGAGGCAGGCGGGAGCAAAGUGCUCAACGUUUCUGAAAUCCCUCUGGGCGUGUCACGUGGAGCCCACUGCUGGCACAGCCGAGCCUGCUGAAGCUCUCAGAGUUCUUCAGGGCCACUGAGGAAAAAAAUGACCAGAGGAGGUAGCAUAAAAGCGGCAUAAAUUGUUCAGCUGAGGUCAUGGUCGUGGGCAGGAGUCUGAGGUCCUGACGUUAAGACAAAAAUUGAGAACACACGGUUGGGAAUGAUGAAUGUCGUACUGUAAGGAAGGGAAAGAAGCCACAUUUUGUCAGGGCCUGGGAGUGGAAAGGGGUGUUCAGAGGAGCACUUGUGAGAGAGAAGGUAUUUGAUCUGCACCUUGAGAUGUGGUUACGAUUUAGAUAUGCAGAGACCGGAAAUGGAGAGAAGGAAGCAGGGGCCUACAAACACGUGGCCUGCCACCACUGAGCCAGCAUACUACUUUCCCUCCAAGUAUUGACCAUGUGAUACGAGCAGAAAUACACAUUAAAUAGUAUUAGUA